rnacentral:lncRNA from 1 species
CCCAGGAUGAAGGCUGGCUCAUGGGUGUGAAGGAGAGCGACUGGAAUCAGCACAAGGAACUGGAGAAAUGCCGCGGCGUCUUCCCGGAGAAUUUCACAGAGCGGGUGCAGUGACGGGAGAGCCUCUGCAGCCUUCCGAUAGCUUCUUGGUUACAAGUGGGAACCUCUGCUCUUCUCCGUGCUGGGAUCCCCAUCUGGCUUGGACCUGUGCAGGCUCUCUGUGAAUUCAUCUGUGUAUUAGUUGCUAUGUCUGUAAGAUACUGCUUCUGUGGAGGCAUCCACCACCAGGCCCUAUUCCUGUCCUUUUGUUCCUCCUCCCACAAUAACUGAGUUUUCUCUGAUUAACUCAUUUAAGUUUUGUACUGCCUAAAUUGGAAAGUAAAGACAAAUACAUUUUUUUCAC